UACGUAGGGUGCGAGCGUUAAUCGGAAUUACUGGGCGUAAAGCGUGCGCAGGCGGUCUGUUAAGACCGAUGUGAAAUCCCCGGGCUUAACCUGGGAACUGCAUUGGUGACUGGCAGGCUUUGAGUGUGGCAGAGGGAGGUAGAAUUCCACGUGUAGCAGUGAAAUGCGUAGAGAUGUGGAGGAACACCGAUGGCGAAGGCAGCCCCCUGGGUCAAGACUGACGCUCGAUGCACGAAAGCGUGGGGAGCAAACAGG
rnacentral:rRNA from 1 species